GGUGCAGCCCCUCCCAAGCGGAGGCAGAAGCGAGACACGGCCCACAACCUGCCGGAGUUCAUUGUGAAGUUUGGCUCACAGGGAGUGGGUGCUGGGCCGAGUAGAGUACGACACGCGCGCGAGUGACGUGCCCCUCAGCCCUAUCCUGCCGCUGGUCAUCGGGCCCAUGGUGGCUGUCAUUGCUGUAUCUGUCUACUGCUACUGGAGGAAGAGCCAGCAGGCAGAGCGCGAGUACGAGAAGAUCAAGUCCCAGCUGGAGGGCCUGGAGGAAAGUGUGCGGGACCGCUGCAAAAAGGAGUUCACCGGUAGGCGGGUCUGGGGCGGGUCCC